rnacentral:rRNA from 1 species
GAUGAACGCUGGCGGCGUGCCUAACACAUGCAAGUCGAACGAACGGACGCGAAGCUUGCUUUUCUGAUGUUAGCGGCGGACGGGUGAGUAACGCGUGGAUAACCUACCUAUAAGACUGGGAUAACUUCGGGACACCGGAGCUAAUACCGGAUAAUAUUUUGAACCGCAUGGUUCAAAAGUGAAAGACGGUCUUGCUGGCACUUAUAGAUGGAUCCGCGCUGCAUUAGCUAGUUGGUAAGGUAACGGCUUACCAAGGCAACGAUGCAUAGCCGACCUGAGAGGGUGAUCGGCCACACUGGAACUGAGACACGGUCCAGACUCCUACGGGAGGCAGCAGUAGGGAAUCUUCCGCAAUGGGCGAAAGCCUGACGGAGCAACGCCGCGUGAGUGAUGAAGGUCUUCGGAUCGGAAAACUCUGUUAUUAGGGAAGAACAUAUGUGGAAGUAACUGUGCACAUCGUGACGGUACCUAAUCAGAAAGCCACGGCUAACUACGUG